GACGAACGCUGGCGGCGUGCUUAACACAUGCAAGUCGAACGAUGAACCGGGUGCUUGCACUUGGGGAUUAGUGGCGAACGGGUGAGUAACACGUGAGUAACCUGCCCUGGACUCUGGGAUAACCCCGAGAAAUCGGAGCUAAUACCGGAUAGGACCUUUCCUCGCAUGAGGUUUGGUGGAAAGGUUUUCGGUCUGGGAUGGACUCGCGGCCUAUCAGCUUGUUGGUGAGGUAAUGGCUCACCAAGGCGUCGACGGGUAGCCGGCCUGAGAGGGUGACCGGCCACACUGGGACUGAGACACGGCCCAGACUCCUACGGGAGGCAGCAGUGGGGAAUAUUGCACAAUGGGCGCAAGCCUGAUGCAGCAACGCCGCGUGCGGGAUGACGGCCUUCGGGUUGUAAACCGCUUUUAGUAGGGAAGAAGGGCUUCGGCUUGACGGUACCUGCAGAAAAAGGACCGGCUAACUACGUGCCAGCAGCCGCGGUAACAC
rnacentral:rRNA from 1 species